ensembl:lncRNA
AGUAGAGACGGGGUUUCACCGUGUUUGCCAGGAUGGGGAAGUCUAUUUAUUUUAUAAAAUUGUCAGUUCAUCUUAAGAUCUAAUAGUCUUUUGCAAUUAACAGCAACUUAAUUCAGACUACCUCAAAAGAAGAAUUUAACAUUGAUUUUUGUAGGAAAAAAGCAAUUUUAAAGUAGUCUGGGAAAACUUAGGUAAGUUUUCCUUAAUCCUGACUCUUAAUUUGUGGCUAGAAGUGGCAAUGAUAUGAACAUAAGUUGUGCUAUUUAUUAAUUUAUUGCUUUUCAUAAAUCAGCCCCUUUUAUGUAAUUAGGUAAAAAGAGAAAAAUACAUUCUUGAUUUUGGUGACUAGAGUUGUGGAUGCCGGAAAGCUCUGCCACUAAGAUUGAUGAACCAGACGCAUGUCACUGGCCAGUCACAGAUUCUUAAUGCCGGCACCGUGGCCUGGCACUGUCACGUUUUCCAGGGAACCUGCCCGAGCUCCUGCAGAAGCUGCUCCUCGGGCCUAUGGAGUCCCUUAGCUGGUAGGCCCUUCUUUAGUCACCACAGGAUGCCUGCUGUUCAUGAACAGGAAGGAGAGGAUGGGCUUUGAAUAAAACACAGGUAACUAAGUUUCCCAACUGCUUUUCUUUGAUUAAGAUUUCAGUCUUGGCUGGGCAUGGUGGCUCACGCCUGUAAUCUCAGUAUUUUGGGAGGCCGAAGUGGGCAGAUCACGAAGUCAGGAGAUUGAGACCAUCCCUGGCCAACAUGGAGAAACCCUGUCUCUACUGAAAAAAUACAAAAUUAGCCGGGCGUGGUUGCGCAUGCCUGUAACCCAGCUACUCGGGAGGCUGAGGUAGGAGAAUCACUUGAACCCAAGAGGUGGAGGUUGCGGUGAGUGGAGAUCACGCCAUUGCACUCCAGCCUGAGCAACAAGAGCAAAACUCCUUCUCAAAAAAAAAAAAAAAAAUCCUCCGAGUUGCACAUGGCUUGUCCGCUUGUCCCUGCUUGGCUACAGACUGUGUGCUCAGUCUGCUCCUAGGACCUUUAUGCAAGUGUCUGGCCUGCAUCAGUGUGAAUGCUUGUUCUUGGAAUGCUUGCCCACAGCUCCCCUGGGUUGACUUCUUUUGGGAAGCUCUCGGGUAGCUGGGAUUACAGGCAUGCACCACCACGCCCGGCUAAUUUUCUGUAUUUUUAGUAGAGAUGGAGUUUCUCCAUGAUUUUCAUUUUUUAAGUGCUUUUUUGAGAUUUGUUUUGUGGCCUGAAAUGUGGUAUAUCCUGGAGAAUGUUUUGGGAGCUGAUGAGAAGAACGCAGGUUCUGAAGUUGGUGGGUGAAAUGUUCUGUAAUUACCUGUCAGGUCCCUCUGACUUCUAUUUUGGUGUGUAAGUCUGGUCUUCGUUGCUUUUCUGCCUAGAGGGUGUGUCUGUUGCUAAGAGUGGGUGUUGGAGUCCCCAGCUAUUGUUGCCUGUCUCUGUUUUUCGAUGACUCUUACUUUAAUAACUGGGGCUCCUGCGUCAGCUGUGUUUACAUUGACAGCUGUUCCACCCUCUUGCUGAAUUGAUCCCUUUAUCAUUUUAUAAUGACCUUUAUUUUCUAUUUUUGUGCUUUGUAGACUUAAAGCCCAUUUUGUGUGACAAGCAUAGCAGUGGUGACUCCUUUCCUUUCUGAUCUUCACCGAACCUCGCUUCUUCACAUUUACCAAAAUGUCUACUUAGAGCCACGGCACCUCUUUGAAUUGUCACAUCUACUGCAUGGUGAUGGUAGAUUUCCUUUUCAUCUGUACUCUGAAGGAAUCCGAAACAGGCAUUUUUACAAGUCUAGGAAGGAAACA